CAACUACCACAGCAGGUCCCACAACAACAACAGCAACUCCCACAACUACAUCGUCUGGUACAACAAGUACCUCAGAAAUUCCAACAACCACAACAACUGCUCCCACAACCACAACUGCAGGCCCAACAACUACCACAGCAGUUCCAACAACUACAACUUCAAGUCCAACAACUACCACAGCAGGUCCCACAACGACAACAGCUCUUCAAACCACCACAACUGCAGGUCCAAUGACUACCAUAGACGGAGCUACAACAACAACAGCAUCUCAACCCACCACAACUGCAGGUCCAACAACUACCACAGCCGUUCCAACAACUACAACUUCAAGUCCAACAACUACCACAGCAGGUCCCACAACAACUUCAGCAACUCCCACACCUACAUCGUCUGGUCCAACAAGUACCACAGAGAUUCCAACAACCACAACAACUGCUCCCACAACCACAACUGCAGGUCCAACAACUACCACAGCAGGUUCAACAACUACCACAGUAGGUCCCACAACGACAACAGCUCUUCAAACCACCACAACUGCAGGUCCAACAACUACCACAGAGGGUCCUACAACAACAACAGCUGCUCAACCCACCACAACUGAAGGUCCAACAACUUCUACAGCAGGUCCCACAACAACAACAGCAACUCCCCUAACUACAUCGUCUGGUCCAACAAGUACCACAGAAAUUCCAACAACCACAACAACUGCUCCAACAACCACAACUGAUGGUCCAACAACUACCACAGCAGGUCUCACAACAACAACAGCAACUUCCACAACUACAUCGUCUGGUCCAACAAGUACCACAGAGAUUCCAACAACCAGAACAACUGCUCCCACAACCACAACUGCAGGUCCAACAACUACCACAGCUGUUCAAAUAACUACAACUUCAAGUCCAACAACUACCACAGCUGGUCCAACAACUACCACAGCUGUUCAAAUAACUACAACUUCAAGUCCAACAACUACCACAGCUGGUCCCAGAACGACAACAGCUCCUGAAACAAACACAACUGAAGGUCCAACAACUACCACAGCAGGUCCCACAACAACAAAAGCAACCCCCAAAACUACAUCGUCUGGUCCAACAAGUACCACGGAGGGUCCAACGACCUCAACAGCUGCUCCAACAACUACAACAGCUGCUCAAUCCACCAAAACUGCAGGUCCAAUAACUACCACAGCAGUUCCAACAACUACAACUUCAAGUCCAACAUCUCCCACAGCAAGUCCCAGAACAACAACAGCAACUCCUACAACUACAUCGUCUGGUCCAACAAGUACCACGGAAAGUCCAACAACCGCAACAGCUGCUCCAACAACCACAACUGCAGGUCCAACAACUACCACAGCAGUUCCAACAACUACAACUUCAGGUCCAACAACUACUACAUCAGUUUCAACAACUAUUACAGCAGAUCCCGCAACAACAACUUUUGCUCCAGCCACCACAACUGUAGGUCCAACAACUACCAAAGCAGUUCUCUCAAUAAUAACAGCAGGUCAAACAACUACAACGGUAGGUCGUGCAACAACAACAGCUGCUCAAAACACCACAACUGCAGGUCCAACAACUGCGACAGAAACUUAUACAACAGCAGUUCCAACAACUACAACAUCAGGUCCCACAACUACAACAGCUGCUCAAACCACGACAACCGCAUUUCAAAAAACAACAUCAAGACGAACAACGUCCACUGCAAGUCCCACAACGACAACUGCUAAUCAAACCACAACAACAACAGCAGGUUCAAAAACCCCAACUGCUGUUCCUACAACCACAGCUACUCCAACCACCUCAAUUGGAAGACCUACAACUUCAACUGUAGGCCCAACAACAACAAUCGCAGGUACCACAAUUACCAUUGCGGGCCCCACAACAACAACAACAACAGUUGGUCUCACAACUACAACAGCAACUAAAGCAACUAAAGAAGUCACAGGCACUCCGACUAGUUCCCCGGAAUCCACAACAGUAUCAACUAACCCUCCAGAAGAAGAUGAAGGCUACCUUCUACUGCAGUUUCGAAUAAUGCGUAAAUGGAUCCCAGCUUACAUCAAUCGUCAGUCUAAAGAAUACAAAGCGAUCAGUUUUAAUAUAACAACAGAGUGCAAUAGAGGAUACCGCCAUUCCUAUCCGAACAUUUUCCUUAGAUCGCAUCUAAGACAUCUGUGGGAAGGCUCUGUGGGGACAGAUCUUGAUCUGAUCUUUGUGAAUCAAUCAGUUGUGCCAAACAUUACUAGUGUAGAAGAAUCUCUGAAAACUGCACUAGAUGCAUCGAUUAUAUUCCUGAAUAUAAUUCCAAGCAGUAUCAAAGCAGCCAUGCCAAAUAUGACCGAAGAUACCUCAUCCACAACUGCUGCUGCAACAUCAACAACAGCAACAACAACAAGACCACACAGACCCACCACUGUAGGGUCUUCAACAACAUCAAGAUUAACAACGCCAAAUAAUGCCGCAGCUACAGCCACAAGCACAUCUGCAACCAGCAACCGAGCAGCUAGCAAAAAUAUUGAUCUAUUCGCUAGACUGUUCUUCACCUCACUGCUUCACGCCCUGUUUAACAAUGUAUAAACAAUCAUGGUUUCAUAAUCUUUCAGGGUUUCAAGUUUUCAUAGAGGACUUGUCUAUUAAUGUAAAAAAAAAUAUAUAUGUAAUAUUUACUAAUUAGUAUUUUAUUAAUGAAUUACUUAUGAUUUGUAUGUGAAUAUUUACUAAUAUAUUAUCUGUUUAAAAUCAAACAAUGUAUGUCAAUCAUUUUAAAUAAAGGAAAAAAUCUGGAAACAUGUACAACUUACAUAUGGAACAUAUAUGUACGUGGGUAGCAAUUACAAUAGUGUUAUUACCUUUCACGAUUUCAUUUCUCUCUUAAAAC
ensembl:lncRNA